CCUACGGUGUGCAGCAGUGGGGAAUAUUUGGCCAUGGGCGCAAGCCUGACCCAGCAACGCCGCGUGCAGGAAGAAGGCUUUCGGGUUGUAAACUUCUUUUGUCAGGGACGAAGCAAGUGACGGUACCUGACGACUAAGCCACGGCUAACUACGUGCCAGCAGCCGCGGUAAUAAGUAGGUGGCCAGCGUUAUCCGGAUUUACUGGGUGAAAAGGUCGUGUAGGCGGGACUGCAAGUCAUAGUUGAAAACCACGGCCUCACCCUGUGGCCUGCAUUUGAAACUGUAGUUCUUGGGUACUGGAGAGGCAGACGGAAUUCCUAGUGUAGCGGUGAAAUGCGUAGAUAUUAGGAGGAACACCAGUGGCGAAGGCGGUCUGCUGGACAGCAACUGACGCUGAGGCGCGAAAGCGUGGGGAGCAAACAGGAUUAGAUACCCUUGUAGUC
rnacentral:rRNA from 1 species